AGAUACCCCACUAUGCUCAGCCGUAAACUUUAAAUUACAUUAAAAUCGCCAGGAAACUACAAGCAAUGCUCAAAACCCAAAGGACUUGACGGUACCUUACACCCCCCUAGAGGAGCCUGUCCUAUAAUCGAUAACCCCCGUUAAACCUCACCCCCUCUGGCUUAUCAGCCUGUAUACUUCCGUCGUCAGCCCACCACGUGAGCGUCCUUAGUAAGCUCUAUCGCUCAAUUCGCACAAACGUCAGGUCAAAGUGCAGCAAAUGAGGGGGGAAGAGAUGGGCUACAUUCUCUAAAGUAGAGUAAACGAACGACUGCAUAUGAAACCCAGUCUAAAGGCGGAUUUAGAAGUAAAGAGGAAAUAGAGAGUUCUCUUUAACUUGGCACUGAGGUGUGUACACACCGCCCGUCACCCUCCUCACAGCCAUUAAAAAGUAAUUAACAACUUAUAGCAUAAAAGAGGAGGCAAGUCGUAACA
rnacentral:rRNA from 1 species